rnacentral:rRNA from 1 species
UGCAGUCGACGAUGAUGCCCAGCUUGCUGGGUUGAUUAGUGGCGAACGGGUGAGUAACACGUGAGUAACCUGCCCCUGACUCUGGGAUAAGCGUUGGAAACGACGUCUAAUACUGGAUAUGAUCGCCGGCCGCAUGGUCUGGUGGUGGAAAGAUUUUUUGGUUGGGGAUGGACUCGCGGCCUAUCAGCUUGUUGGUGAGGUAAUGGCUCACCAAGGCGACGACGGGUAGCCGGCCUGAGAGGGUGACCGGCCACACUGGGACUGAGACACGGCCCAGACUCCUACGGGAGGCAGCAGUGGGGAAUAUUGCACAAUGGGCGAAAGCCUGAUGCAGCAACGCCGCGUGAGGGAUGACGGCCUUCGGGUUGUAAACCUCUUUUAGUAGGGAAGAAGCGAAAGUGACGGUACCUGCAGAAAAAGCACCGGCUAACUACGUGCCAGCAGCCGCGGUAAUACGUAGGGUGCAAGCGUUGUCCGGAAUUAUUGGGCGUAAAGAGCUCGUAGGCGGUUUGUCGCGUCUGCUGUGAAAUCCCGAGGCUCAACCUCGGGCUUGCAGUGGGUACGGGCAGACUAGAGUGCGGUAGGGGAGAUUGGAAUUCCUGGUGUAGCGGUGGAAUGCGCAGAUAUCAGGAGGAACACCGAUGGCGAAGGCAGAUCUCUGGGCCGUAACUGACGCUGAGGAGCGAAAGCAUGGGGAGCGAACAGGAUUAGAUACCCUGGUAGUCCAUGCCGUAAACGUUGGGCGCUAGAUGUAGGGACCUUUCCACGGUUUCUGUGUCGUAGCUAACGCAUUAAGCGCCCCGCCUGGGGAGUACGGCCGCAAGGCUAAAACU